rnacentral:siRNA from 1 species
GCGGACAAAACUGGUCAUAUGCCC